GUGAUGGACUCGCAUGGACGAAGUCUGACGGAGCAACGCCGCGUGAGUGAUGAAGGUUUUCGGAUCGUAAAGCUCUGUUGUUAGGGAAGAACAAGUGCGAGAGUAACUGCUCGCACCUUGACGGUACCUAACCAGAAAGCCACGGCUAACUACGUGCCAGCAGCCGCGGUAAUACGUAGGUGGCAAGCGUUGUCCGGAAUUAUUGGGCGUAAAGGGCUCGCAGGCGGUUUCUUAAGUCUGAUGUGAAAGCCCCCGGCUCAACCGGGGAGGGUCAUUGGAAACUGGGAAACUUGAGUGCAGAAGAGGAGAGUGGAAUUCCACGUGUAGCGGUGAAAUGCGUAGAGAUGUGGAGGAACACCAGUGGCGAAGGCGACUCUCUGGUCUGUAACUGACGCUGAGGAGCGAAAGCGUGGGGAGCGAACAGGAUUAGAUACCCUGGUAGUCCACGCCGUAAACGAUGAGUGCUAAGUGUUAGGGGGUUUCCGCCCCUUAGUGCUGCAGCUAACGCAUUAAGCACUCCGCCUGGGGAGUACGGUCGCAAGACUGAAACUCAAAGGAAUUGACGGGGGCCCGCACAAGCGGUGGAGCAUGUGGUUUAAUUCGAAGCAACGCGAAGAACCUUACCAGGUCUUGACAUCCUCUGACAACCCUAGAGAUAGGGCUUUCCCUUCGGGGACAGAGUGACAGGUGGUGCAUGGUUGUCGUCAGCUCGUGUCGUGAGAUGUUGGGUUAAGUCCCGCAACGAGCGCAACCCUUGAUCUUAGUUGCCAGCAUUCAGUUGGGCACUCUAAGGUGACUGCCGGUGACAAACCGGAGGAAGGUGGGGAUGACGUCAAAUCAUCAUGCCCCUUAUGACCUGGGCUACACACGUGCUACAAUGGACAGAACAAGGGCUGCAAGACCGCAAGGUUUAGCCAAUCCCAUAAAUCUGUUCUCAGUUCGGAUCGCAGUCUGCAACUCGACUGCGUGAAG
rnacentral:rRNA from 1 species